rnacentral:rRNA from 1 species
UACGAAGGGGGCUAGCGUUGCUCGGAAUCACUGGGCGUAAAGGGUGCGUAGGCGGGUUUUAAGUCAGAGGUGAAAUCCUGGAGCUCAACUCCAGAACUGCCUUUGAUACUGAGAAUCUUGAGUAUGGGAGAGGUGAGUGGAACUGCGAGUGUAGAGGUGAAAUUCGUAGAUAUUCGGAAGAACACCAGUGGCGAAGGCGACUCACUGGACAUGUAUUGACGCUGAGGUGCGAAAGCGUGGGGAGCAAACAGG